UACGGGGGGGGUAAGCGUUGUUCGGAAUUACUGGGCGUAAAGGGCUCGUAGGCGGCCAACUAAGUCAUACGUGAAAUCCCUCAGCUUAACUGGGGAACUGCGUGUGAUACUGGAUGGCUUGGAUUUGGGAGAGGGAUGCGGAAUUCCAGGUGUAGCGGUGAAAUGCGCAGAUAUCAGGAGGAACACCGGUGGCGAAGGCGGGUCUCUGGGCCGAUACUGACGCUGAGGAGCGAAAGCGUGGGGAGCGAACAGG
rnacentral:rRNA from 1 species